rnacentral:rRNA from 1 species
UUAGCAUGGAAUAAUAAAAUAGGACGUGUGGUUCUAUUUUGUUGGUUUCUAGGACCGCCGUAAUGAUUAAUAGGGACAGUCGGGGGCAUCAGUAUUCAAUUGUCAGAGGUGAAAUUCUUGGAUCUAUUGAAGACUAACUACUGCGAAAGCAUUUGCCAAGGAUGUUUUCAUUGAUAAGGAACGAAAGUUAGGGGAUCGAAGACGAUCAGAUACCGUCGUAGUCUUAACUAUAAACUAUGCCGACUAGGGAUCGGACGAUGUUAUCUUUUGACGCGUUCGGCACCUUUCGAGAAAUCAAAGUGCUUGGGCUCCAGGGGGAGUAUGGUCGCAAGGCUGAAACUUAAAGAAAUUGACGGAAGGGCACCACCAGGGGUGGAACCUGCGGCUUAAUUUGACUCAACACGGGGAAACUCACCAGGUCCAGACACAGUGAGGAUUGACAGAUUGAGAGCUCUUUCUUGAUUCUGUGGGUGGUGGUGCAUGGCCGUUCUUAGUUGGUGGAGUGAUUUGUCUGCUUAAUUGCGAUAACGAACGAGACCUUAACCUGCUAAAUAGCCCGUACUGCUUUGGCAGUUCGCCGGCUUCUUAGAGGGACUAUCGGCUCAAGCCGAUGGAAGUUUGAGGCAAUAACAGGUCUGUGAUGCCCUUAGAUGUCCUGGGCCGCACGCGCGUUACACUGACAGAGCCAGCGAGUAUUUCCUUGACCGGAAGGUCCGGGUAAUCUUGUUAAACUCUGUCGUGCUGGGGAUAGAGCAUUGCAAU